CGGAGGGGGCUAGCGUUGUUCGGAAUUACUGGGCGUAAAGCGUGCGUAGGCGGCCUUUCAAGUUGGGUGUGAAAGCCCGGGGCUUAACCCCGGAAAUGCGCCCAAGACUGUUUGGCUAGAGACCCGGAGAGGUGAGUGGAACUCCCAGUGUAGAGGUGAAAUUCGUAGAUAUUGGGAAGAACACCAGUGGCGAAGGCGGCUCACUGGACGGGUACUGACGCUGAGGCACGAAAGCGUGGGGAGCAAACAGGAUUAGAUACCCUGGUAGUCCACGCCGUAAACUAUGAGAGCUAGACGUUGGGGGGCUUGCCCCUCUGUGUCGCAGCUAACGCGUGAAGCUCUCCGCCUGGGGAGUACGGCCGCAAGGUUA
rnacentral:rRNA from 1 species